rnacentral:misc_RNA from 1 species
GUCCGGAUUGAUCUGCGACCGCUCGAUCAUGGGGCUCGCCGUUGCGCAGCAGUUCCACGAUCGCGCCUGGCCCAGCGCUGCCGGCGAUAACCGCGUCACCCGUUCGCGCAAUGCGGGCAAUGUCGAAGACAGGCACGGAUUUAUCUGUGUCCGGCGCGGGGGGCGGUGCGGCAAGUGCACCCGUCACCGUGUUUGCUUCAGCUUGUGCUG